rnacentral:lncRNA from 1 species
UAAAGAGACUUAACUCAUGAAGACAAACUGAAGACAAACCAAGGGAAGCAUGAAUAAAUAGAUUUGUAAAAUAAAGCCACUGGGACUAGUCUGGUAAAAUGAAUGUUGAGACAAAAGAAGGCAAAUUAACAGUUCUGUAGUAAAGAACGAGUUACUCAAUGGCAUAGUCUACAUGAUAUUAAUCUGUAAUUAUAGGUUUUAAUAUGAUAUCUCACAGAAUAACCUAAACUGGCAGAGGCCAAAUUAGAAUAACAAGAGUUGAUUAAUGAAUAGUCUCCAUGAAAUUUUUAUAUUGUAAACUAAUUGAAUAUAAGAGCAUGUUGGGUAAAAUUGAUUUCCUUUCUUUGAACUUCUGAGCAAUGAUUUCAUGUGCCAGUCAUUUUAAAUAUAUCGGACUUUUUGAUUCUUCACUCACUUUUUCAUGUGUCUAAUCUUCAUCUGCUCUGUAAACUCCAUGAAGGCAGAUACUAUAUUUAAUAGUUCUUUUGCACCUAGCAGAAGAGGAAAUCAGUAAUACCUUUAAAAUCUCUGUUUUCAGCACAUAGUUUCACUCAAAAUAUUUUAUUAUUUUUUAAUCAGAGUGAUUCACUAAGGAAAACUAAAGUGACUAAGCCUAUCAUCAGUUCUUCUAAAAUAUGUCUCAUAAAUGAGGUGACCAUAUAGUCUGGUCUCCUUGAGACUGCUCCUUUAUUUUUGUCUGUUAUACAGGGUAGUUAUUAAUAGCUUUUCCUUUCACUCUUAAAAUAUCUAGGUUUAGAUAAAUUAUUUUGUUCAUCCUACCAUAGUUCAUGAUAUCAGAGUCUGAAAUAAUCAAUGAGUCUGACUGACUUUGCAUUCCAAAUGGGUAUCUAUGGGACCUAGAUUAUCCAAUUUUAAAAAAAAGAAGAAAGAAUAUAUAUUUUAGUUAAGGCUUAUGAACUCAUUUGAUAGACUAUUUUAAUAACAUAAAAUGAAAAAAAAAACAAAAAGUACAGAACUGUAAAUAGAAUACUUGCAGUAAUAUUCCCCCAUUUGUCUCAUUGAAUGUGAUAAAAAAAAUGACUUUAUCAAAAUUCUUUUUUUUUUUUUUUUGGCUUUUUAGGGAAGCACCCAUGGUAUAUGGAGGUUCGCAGGCUAGGGGUAGAAUCGGAGCUGUAGCCGCUGGCCUAUGCCACAGCCACAGCAAUACCAGAACCGAGCCACAUCUGCAACCUACACCACAACCUCAGGGCAACACCAGAUCCUUAACCCACUGAGUGAGGCCAGAGAUCGAGCCUGCAUCCUCAUAGUUUGCAUCAAAACAAAAUUUAAAUAUGUAGCUCAAGAAAUACAAUGUAUUAAUUUCUAAACUCUGUGAAGUUAGCCUAAAAAUGCUUAAGAAAUGAUUUUGUCUUUCAUUUGCUUGAGUUUUAUAGAUUAGAAAGUAUGUAAUAAGUAAAAUACUACAAAAUAAGCAUAGAUCAGCUCAGGGGACUGAGAAAUUUAAUCUAUAAUUUUUUUUCAUUUGCACAUAAAUGUUCAUAAUCUCUUUGCAAACGCUGAAAGCGAAUCUGCACAAUAAUAGUGGUUAACACUGAGAAUUAUUCAGUUUUAGAGCCAGACCACUUUUAAACUUUAGGUCUGUCCUCAAGGCUAAGUAUAAUUAUCCCAACUCCUUAUGCCCAUUGUUUGUCUUAUCCAUAAUGAGUUCUACAACCUCUUUUAUAGUAUUUCAUAAUUAUCUUUAUUUCAGAAUAUGCAUUUUAAAAUAUUUUAAUGGUUUACCAUUAAAUGGACAAUAAGCAUAUGCAUUAUUUUCCAGUACACAAUAUUUUACUGUAAUACUGCACAAUUUUUAACAUCCUUCUUUUGAUGUUUCAGAAAUAUUUUUCUCUCUGAGUGAAGAGUUAAUGACUGAGCAGGAUUUUAAAGCUCCUUUAUUUCUUUUUUUUCUUCUUUCUUUGUCUUUUUGUUUUUUAGGGCCACACCUGCAGCAUAUGGAGGUUCCCAAGCUAGGGGUCCAACUGCAGCUGUAGUUGUCGGCCUACACCACAGCCACAGCAACAUGGGGGCUCCGAGCUGUGUCUGUGACCUACACCACAGUUCACAGCAAUGCCGGAUCCUUAACCCACUGAGCCAGGCCAGGGAUCGAACCAGCAUUCUCUGGGAUGCUAGUUGGGUUUGCUAACUUCUGAGCCACGACGGGAACUCCAAAGCUCCUUUAUUUUUUUGAGCUUUUCUCUCUCUCUCUCUCUCUCUCACACACACACACACACAAACACAAAUGAGGUGAAUAAAUAAAGCUAUGCUUAAAAUAGUUAACUACAUGCCUAGAUUUAAAGGCUGAUGGCCCAGCUGUUAGUACCAACAAAAAUCCCAGGAAAGCUAUAUGUAGCAUUAUCAGAUUGUGGUCAUGGAAAAGCCAAGCAAUACAAUUGCAUGGUGCUUUUCACUCUGUAGACAGAUGUAGGGCAUGCUCAAAAAUCAGAAAGCACAUUCCUGAGCCUAUGGGUUUAUCACCUUAAAAAAUUUAU